UUAUCAUCAGUUCCGAAACAAGGUUCGUUCUUUACUCAUCGGCUUCUGGAUAAAAUCCACGUUCUUUGGUGUUUUUGGAUGGACUCACAAUCGCUCGACUUACCCUAAACUUUCGUUAGCCACAGCCUGAUAGCCUCAAGAGCCGGUGGGGAGAGGUCGGUAACAUUUUGACCACAUCGUCGAAUUUAGCUACGCCCGGCGUACUCGCACACCUUUUGCUCAGAAAGUUUUGAAAAUUAGCCAUGGACGAACGACGGAUUGUUUGUCAACACAGGUCGCAUCUUAAAGUCAUCAGGCUGAUGGUGGUUUUGGUAAUUGUUUUAUCCGUUGCGGUAGAAAGUGCACCUGGGUACAGAUUUUGUGAGCAGCAGUUGCAAGUUGUCAUGACCAUGGUUUGUGAUAGUACUGAAGAUUCUGUAGAGACGAAUCGAACUGCGAGUCAAAAAGGCACUCGAUUGGUACAAACUGAAUUUAAUCCGCAAAAGUUUAAGCCCGGAUUCGAGGAAUGCUGUUUCAGAACGUGUACCUAUGCGGAAUUGGAAAAAUAUUGCAAGUGAUACAUAUUUUAUUUAAAUUUCUUAAUGCUCAAAAGAUCUGUGACCUUGGCCCGAACUAUAAAAAAAUUUUGAACAUAUACAUAUUUUAAACUAAA